rnacentral:rRNA from 1 species
UACGUAGGCAGCAAGCGUUGUUCGGAGUUACUGGGCGUAAAGGGUGCGUAGGCGGCCUUAUAAGUAUGGUGUGAAAUCUCCCGGCUUAACUGGGAGGGUGCGCUAUAGACUGUGGGGCUAGAGUGUGGGAGAGGAAAGUGGAAUUCCUGGUGUAGCGGUGGAAUGCGUAGAUAUCAGGAGGAACACCGGUGGUGUAAACGGCUUUCUGGACCAUAACUGACGCUGAGGCACGAAAGCGUGGGUAGCAAACAGG